UACAGAGGGUGCAAGCGUUAAUCGGAAUUACUGGCGUAAAGCGUGCGUAGACGGUCAUGUAAGUCGGGUGUGAAAGCCCCGGGCUCAACCUCGGGAAUUGCAUUCGAGACUGCAUGGCUAGGAUGCGGAAGAGGGAAGCGGAAUUUCCGGUGUAGCGGUGAAAUGCGUAGAUAUCGGAAGGAACACCAGUGGCGAAAGCGGCUUCC
rnacentral:rRNA from 1 species